CGCUGGAGCAGCAGCGGGAGCUGCGGGAGCGCCGGGAGCGCUGCGAGGCGCGGCACAGGGACCUGGAGAACACCCUCCGGGACUACGCGGCCGAGGUGGAGGCGCUGCGGCGGCGGGGGAGGGACAGAGCCACCGGGCGCAGGUGUCCCCUGUCCCGGAAAGGCUGAGGCCCCGCAGCCCCCCCGGUCCCGCCCCGCUGAGCGCGACGUUCCCGGUGUCCCCGCCGUGUCCCCGCGGUGUCCCCAACACCGGGACCAGCGGGGGCUCAUUCCCGGCCCCGGAGCCGCCAGCGCAGUCCGGGGGAGCGAUGGGGGUGGGAGACGUGUCCUGAGCCCAUCCUGUGUGCCCUAAUCCCACUGAGAUUCCUGAUUUGAUCCCGUGUCCCCAUCCCACCGUGGCUCCUGAUCCCAUCCCAUGUCCCGAUCCCGCGGUGUCCCGAUCCCAAUCCUGCGCACUGAUCCCGCGGUGUCCCGAUCCCACUGCACGUCCUAAUCCCGCUGUGUCCCAAUCCCGAUCCCGAUCCCACCGCGUGUCCCGAUCCCACAUCCCCCAAUCCCUUUGCGAUGCCGCCGCGUGUCCCACUCCCGCGGUGUUCCCAUCCCACUCCGCAGCCGGACACGGGACUGAGGGGUCCCUUUCCCAGUUUUGGGGCAGUUUCGGCUCAUCCCGGGCACCGUUUUCCCACCGGAGCUCUGGGAUGCGCUCCGGGAGUUACCGCCACAUCCGCAGCGCUCCGGAAACCGGGAACACCGGGAAUUUAGGGAAGAUUGGGUAAUAAAGGCUGCUCUGCUCUCGGGGACAUCUCC